UAGGGAAUAUUAGUAAUGGGCGAAAGCCUGAACUAGCAACACCGCGUGUGCGAAGAAGGCCUUCGGGUUGUAAAGCACUUUUUGAGAGGAUGAGGAAGGACAGUACUCUCAGAAUAAGUCUCGGCUAACUACGUGCCAGCAGCCGCGGUAACACGUAGGAGGCGAACGUUAUCCGGAUUUACUGGGCGUAAAGCGCGUGUAGGUGGUUCUGUAAGUAGGGCGUGAAAGCUCCUGGCUCAACUGGGAGAGGCCGUUCUAAACUACAGAACUAGAGGAUGGUAGAGGGAGGUGGAAUUCCAGGUGUAGCGGUGGAAUGCGCAGAUAUCUGGAGGAACACCAGUGGCGAAGGCGGCCUCCUGGACCAUUCCUGACACUCAGACGCGAAAGCUAGGGUAGCAAACG
rnacentral:rRNA from 1 species